rnacentral:rRNA from 1 species
UACGUAGGGGGCAAGCGUUGUCCGGAAUCAUUGGGCGUAAAGAGCGUGUAGGCGGUCCGGUAAGUCGGCUGUGAAAGUCCAGGGCUCAACCCUGGGAUGCCGGUCGAUACUGCCGGACGUAGAGUCGGAAGAGGCGAGUGGAAUUCCCGGUGAUAGCGGUGAAAUGCGCGAGAUAUCGGGAGGAACACCUACUGGCGAAGGCAGCUCGCUGGGACGUACUG